rnacentral:SRP_RNA from 1 species
UUGGAGGCUAGGCAGGGUGGGUAGCGGACACCUGUUGCCAGCAAUCCGCUUCAGCUGGAGCCGAAGCCUGAGGGCGGCGAUAAGACAAUCCAGGGCCCAUUGCCCGAGCGUCGAAGCCCAGCCCCUUGGGAUCUCGGCACGGCUAACCCAGCCAGGGCCGGAAGGCAGCAACUGUAUGCUUGUGUCGCGGUGCUUAAGGGUACCUGGGUGGAGCAACGGCAGUGGAAAACCUUGCUUGUUGACUCGCCCACCGAUGGCGUGCCUCCUU